rnacentral:ribozyme from 1 species
AAAUUAAGAAGAAGAAACGAAAAAAGGAUCACCGGCAUUAUCGUUGUUGACUUUCUUUCCAAUCCUUUCAUCGUUUCUUCUUCUUUAUUUCCAUCUCAGUAAU